GGGGUCCCUGAGGGAGGAGAACGGCACACGACAGCCACGAUCCCUCUUCUGCCAGCGGGGACUUAAGACUUUAUCUGGCGGUUGACCCCUCCCCAAAAUCUACCCCAUCCAGCAUAACUCCCUCCCGACCGAGCGUCCACGAGCCUGCCGAGAGGAGGCCAGGGUGAGGGUGGGGAACAUAUCCUAGAAGGCUAACAAGUGGUUUUCAAGCCUUUAGAACCUGGACGAGCGGAGAGGCUUACUAUUGCCAUCCCUCUUAGAGACACCCCCCAGUGGGGAUCCGGCUUGAUUAUUUUUCUUUUUUUUUCCCCCGUUUUUUUGUUUUUGUUUUCGUUUUUAAUCCUGCCCACUAUACCACGAGAGACCACUUGAUUAUUAAAGGCAGACCUCCAAGUUCCUCCCUCCUCGACAACCUUUCUCCUUUCACGGGUCUGCAGUGUUUUACAACUUGUCACUCUGUAUCUUUUGGGUUAAAGGGGUAAACAUUGGGUAAAAUAGUAUCAAGAACCCUAGAUACACUGGCAAGAAGGCCGAUGACAGGAGUCCAAGAAGACUUCUCAUUCUUAGAACAAAUCUUUUUGAAUGUUAUGUGUAUUUUGUCAGGUUUGGGGCUAAAAAACAGAAUGGGGUCAAUAGUAUGGAGUAUGAAAAAAACCUGGAUAAGUCGAUAUUGUGAUGGCUUGAAAUAUUUGACAUUUUACGAAUUUUAUUUUCGAUUCAUAUUGUGGAGUCAUUUAAGCAGCUAUCCCAAAGUACUUUAGGGUAUGUAAAGGUAUGAAACCUUCCAAGAAUGCAGCCCUCAUUGGAUAGUUAAAGUCGGGUUUUUAAUGAGCUGUUUAGAUUUGGUUUGGUUUGAUUUGAAUACCUGAUUCCUGCUGUCUUUCCAUGCCAGCUGAAGAGGCACUUUCAAGAUAGAUACUUCCCUGAGACCGCCCCUAUUAAAAGACUGAACCAAUGUUCAUUUGGAACAUCACGUAUGUUUGGAGGAAACGAAAGUAGAGCCUACUUUGAAAUAAAUCUCAAGGACAGAUGGUCAUUAACGAAAUAGAAAGUGUGCUUUGCCCCUCACGCUGCAGACGCGUGGUAUGACGCGGCGUGACGCUCAGUGAUUGCGUCAGUACAAUGCCCCGUAGCCCCGCCCCGCGCCGGCGCCGCCCGCGGGAAAGAGAGCCACCUAGUGAGGGAUGAUUCGCAUCUCUGGUGUAGGAGCCUGCCUUUCCCCAACCCUGAGAGCCCAAGGGUGGAGAUUACUACUCCCUAUUACUUCAAAUAUCCUACAUUUCUUCCCUGAAGUUUAUUGACACCAUCCAGGUUACUAUGGAUACCACAAUGACAUGGUCUCUGUUUUUAAGGAAACUGCCUUCUGGUAGAGAUAUCAGAGUAGAGAAGUGAUGAGGAUGCAGUAUGAUGGAUUCAGUAAUUAAGGCUAGUCAAGUGGAGCAGUGGGAAUGGAGAAGGAACAGAGGAAUCUGUAACUGGUUAUGAUCAAUCAGUUGUAAAUACCACUGCACUUGGACCAACCAUGAAUAUUCUCUAGAAGUAAUCCCUAAGUAGUAAGAAAAGAAUUUUACUGGGCAUUCAACUAAACUGGGUAUUUGAAAUCUGCUAUUGUAUUUAAUACGAUGAAAGUUUUAAUUAAGUGAAAUUUACUCAGGCAGUGAGUAAAGAGCACAUGAUAAGAUUAAGGAUAAUUCAUCAAUUAUCUCACAGCGAAGUCUCAGAAUUCAAUGUAGAAAAAAUAGUCAUCAACAUAACAUCCAAAUCUUUUUUGGAGAUAAGGUCUUGCUCUGUUGCCCAGGUUAGUGUGCAGUGGUGUCAUCAUAGCUCAUUGCAACCUUGA